GCUGAUGUGGCGAAAUCGGCAGACGCAAGGGACUUAAAAUCCCUCGGUAGCAAUACCGUACCAGUUCAAGUCUGGUCAUCAGCA
rnacentral:tRNA from 1 species